ACGCACGCUGGCGGCGUGCUUAACACAUGCAAGUCGCACGGAAAGGCCCUGCUUUUGUGGGGUGCUCGAGUGGCGAACGGGUGAGUAACACGUGAGUAACCUGCCCUUGACUUUGGGAUAACUUCAGGAAACUGGGGCUAAUACCGGAUAGGAGCUCCUGCUGCAUGGUGGGGGUUGGAAAGUUUCGGCGGUUGGGGAUGGACUCGCGGCUUAUCAGCUUGUUGGUGGGGUAGUGGCUUACCAAGGCUUUGACGGGUAGCCGGCCUGAGAGGGUGACCGGCCACAUUGGGACUGAGAUACGGCCCAGACUCCUACGGGAGGCAGGAGUGGGGAAUAUUGCAAAAUGGGCGGAAGCCUGAUGCAGCAACGCCGCGUGCGGGAUGACGGCCUUCGGGUUGGAAACCGCUUUCGCCUGUGACGAAGCGUGAGUGACGGUAAUGGGUAAAGAAGCACCGGCUAACUACGUG
rnacentral:rRNA from 1 species